CUAAUGAAUGAAGAUCCAAUCAAUCUUGAAAGCAUCCUUCAGAAUCUAGUAUUCAAAAUAUAUUCUUCUAUCAGUUUUAGUCAUAACUAGUAAAAGUCCUAAGUUUCGACAUCCUCAUAAGACUGACAAGAAUGUUAACAUCCAAUAUCCUAGUCGGUCUAACUAAGAUAAUUUUAUCCGAUCAUGAUUAGACUAAGAUACAGGUGGUUCAAUG
rnacentral:lncRNA from 1 species